AGGACGAACGCUGGCGGCGUGCUUAACACAUGCAAGUCGAGCGGUGACCCUCCUUCGGGAGGUGAUCAGCGGCGAACGGGUGAGUAACACGUGGGCAACCUGCCCCUCACACUGGGAUAACCUCGGGAAACCGGGCUAAUACCGGAUACGACCUCGAGCGGCAUCUCUUGAGGUGGAAAGCUCCGACGGUGAGGGAUGGACCCGCGGCCUAUCAGCUUGUUGGUGGGGUAAUGGCCUACCAAGGCGACGACGGGUA
rnacentral:rRNA from 1 species